CUACUACCGAUCGAAUGGCUUGGUGAGAAGGUAGGAUUGAUGCGGGGAGGGCCUUGUGUCCUGCUUGCGGACAGAACACCUUCGAACUCGGCCAUUUAGAGGAAGUACAAGUCGUAACAAGGUU
rnacentral:rRNA from 1 species